rnacentral:rRNA from 1 species
UACGGGGGGAGCAAGCGUUGUUCGGAUUUACUGGGCGUAAAGCGUGCGCAGGCGGUUUUGUAAGCCAGAUGUGAAAUCCCCGGGCUCAACCUGGGAAUGGCAUUUGGGACUGCAAGGCUGGAGUUUGGCAGAGGAGACUGGAAUUCCUGGUGUAGCAGUGAAAUGCGUAGAUAUCAGGAGGAACACCGAUGGCGAAGGCAGGUCUCUGGGCUGAAACUGACGCUCAAGCACGAAAGCGUGGGGAGCAAACAGGGAUUAGAUACCCGGAGU